rnacentral:ncRNA from 1 species
AAAUAAUUAUUAAAUUAUCCUAAUAUAAUUAAUUAAUAUUAUCAUUUAAUUAAUCAUAAAUAUAAAAAUACAUUUCAUUUAAAAAUAAAUUUUAUAAUUAAUAAUAAAAUUAAUAAAAUUUAGUGCCAGCAAUUGCGGUUAAACUAAAAAUUUAAUUAUAUUUACCCUAAUUUACAUCAAUAAAUUUAUAAAUUAAUUAAUAAAAAGUAAAAUUUAAUUAAUUUUCAAUAAAAAUCUAUUAUAAAUUAAAAUUUACUUAAAAAAAUAGGAUUAGAUACCCUAGUAUUCUAAACAAAUUAAAGUAGUAUUAUUUAAUAAAACUUAUUUAUAUUGACGGCAUUUAAUCUUAUUAGAGGAACUUGUUAUUUAAUCGAUAAUCCACGUUAAUUUUCUCUUGAAUAUAAAAAUUUAUAUACCGCCAUUUUACGAUUUAAUUAAAAAAUAUUUUUCUUAAAAACAAAUAAAAAUUUAGGUCAAGGUGUAAUUAAUUUUCAAGAAAUAAAUGAGUUACAUUAAAAUUUAUUUAAGAAUUAUAUAAUUAAAAAUAUUUAUGAAAAAGGAUUUAAUAGUAAAUAAAAAAUAAUAAUUUUUAAUGAAAAAGAAAAUAAAUGUGUACAUAUCGCCCGUCACCCUUAUCCUAAGAUAAGGUAAGUCGUAACAUAGUUGAUAUUUUGGAAAAAGUAUCAAG